CAGCAAUCCUAAUUAAACGCCCCUAGUUGCCUCGUUUUGGUCUCUGGGACAAGAAAGGGUGCGAGAUCAAUCUUGGAAUCCAAAGCUGAGAGUUUAGUGUCAGUAGCUUUCAGUUAUUUCACCUCUAAGACAGAA